rnacentral:rRNA from 1 species
UGGCGGACGGGUGAGUAAUGUCUGGGAAACUGCCUGAUGGAGGGGGAUAACUACUGGAAACGGUAGCUAAUACCGCAUAACGUCGCAAGACCAAAGAGGGGGACCUUCGGGCCUCUUGCCAUCGGAUGUGCCCAGAUGGGAUAGCUAGUAGGUGGGGUAACGGCUCACCUAGGCGACGAUCCCUAGCUGGUCUGAGAGGAUGACCAGCCACACUGGAACUGAGACACGGUCCAG